GGCAAGGCGGCGUGCUAUACUGCCAAGUCGACGCUUUGUGGUUCACUGAUUUGAAGAGCUUGCUCAGAUAUGACGAUGGACAUUGCAAAGAGUGGCGAACGGGUGAGUAACACGUGGGAAACCUACCUCUUAGCAGGGGAUAACAUUUGGAAACAGAUGCUAAUACCGUAUAACAAUGACAACCGCAUGGUUGUUAUUUAAAAGAUGGUUCUGCUAUCACUAAGAGAUGGUCCCGCGGUGCAUUAGCUAGUUGGUAAGGUAAUGGCUUACCAAGGCGAUGAUGCAUAGCCGAGUUGAGAGACUGAUCGGCCACAAUGGGACUGAGACACGGCCCAUACUCCUACGGGAGGCAGCAGUAGGGAAUCUUCCACAAUGGGCGAAAGCCUGAUGGAGCAACGCCGCGUGUGUGAUGAAGGGUUUCGGCUCGUAAAACACUGUUGUAAGAGAAGAAUGACAUUGAGAGUAACUGUUCAAUGUGUGACGGUAUCUUACCAGAAAGGAACGGCUAAAUACGUGCCAGCAGCCGCGGUAAUACGUAUGUUCCAAGCGUUAUCCGGAUUUAUUGGGCGUAAAGCGAGCGCAGACGGUUAUUUAAGUCUGAAGUGAAAGCCCUCAGCUCAACUGAGGAAUUGCUUUGGAAACUGGAUGACUUGAGUGCAGUAGAGGAAAGUGGAACUCCAUGUGUAGCGGUGAAAUGCGUAGAUAUAUGGAAGAACACCAGUGGCGAAGGCGGCUUUCUGGACUGUAACUGACGUUGAGGCUCGAAAGUGUGGGUAGCAAACAGGAUUAGAUACCCUGGUAGUCCACACCGUAAACGAUGAGUGCUAGGUGUUUUGAGGGUUUCCGCCCUUAAGUGCCGCAGCUAACGCAUUAAGCACUCCGCCUGGGGGAGUACGACCGCAAGGUUGAAACUCAAAGGAAUUGACGGGGACCCGCACAAGCGGUGGAGCAUGUGGUUUAAUUCGAAGCAACGCGAAGAACCUUACCAGGUCUUGACAUCCCUUGACAACUCCAGAAAAUGGAGUGUUCCCUUCGGGGACAAGGUGACAGGUGGGUGCAUGGGUUGUCCUCAGCUCCUGUCCUGGAAAAGUUUGGGGUUAAAUCCCCCCAACAAAGCGCAACCCCUUAUUACUAAUUUGCCACCCAUUCAAUUUGGGCACUCUUAUUGGAGACUGCCCGUGGAAAACCCGAGGAAAAGGGGGGGGGUGAAAGUCCAAAUCUCAAUUGCCCCCUUUUAAACCUGGGGGUACAAACCUGGUUCACAUGGGGGGUAUAACACAAAAUUUGCCAACCCCCCCAGGGGGGAGGGAAAACUCUUUAAAAAAAAGCUCCCCCUUCCCCCAAAUAUGAUGGGUCGCG
rnacentral:rRNA from 1 species